CGUCGAAUUCGUGUCAGCACCAGAUUGUCUACUGAAUACUACGAAAGCUUAGAAUUUCUGUAGUCUUCGGAAGUUAGAACUCAUCUAUCUACUAGGAAAGUAGCAAUGAGAUGCUUUCCGGGCAAGGAGAGUGAAGUUCCCAAUGUUUGAUGCAACCGGUAAAGGGGGAUUGGCUACACGCGCUAAUGGUGCUGCCAAUCUGCAAACAAACAUUUACCAAAGGGAAUUGUAUAGUUGGAGAAGUAGAGGCGGAAC